rnacentral:rRNA from 2 species
UACGUAGGGUGCAAGCGUUGUCCGGAAUUACUGGGCGUAAAGAGUUCGUAGGCGGUUUGUCGCGUCGUUUGUGAAAACUCACAGCUCAACUGUGAGCCUGCAGGCGAUACGGGCAGACUUGAGUACUGCAGGGGAGACUGGAAUUCCUGGUGUAGCGGUGAAAUGCGCAGAUAUCAGGAGGAACACCGGUGGCGAAGGCGGGUCUCUGGGCAGUAACUGACGCUGAGGAACGAAAGCGUGGGUAGCAAACAGG